UUUAGAUUUUAGUGGCGACGGGUGAGUAACACGUAAGCAACCUGCCUUUAAGACGAGAAUAACAAUUGGAAACAGUUGCUAAGGCUGGAUAGGAAAUAAAAAGGCAUCUUUUUAUUUUUAAAAGACCUUCUUCGGAGGGUAUGCUUAAAGAGGGGCUUGCGUCACAUUAGUUAGUUGGUAGGGUAAUGGCCUACCAAGACGAUGAUGUGUAGCUGGACUGAGAGGUUGAACAGCCACAUUGGGACUGAGACACGGCCCAAACUCCUACGGGAGGCAGCAGUAGGGAAUUUUCGGCAAUGGAGGAAACUCUGACCGAGCAACGCCGCGUGAACGACGAAGUACUUCGGUAUGUAAAGUUCUUUUAUUGAAGAAGAAACAAUAGUGGAAAAACUAUCUUGACGUUAUUCAAUGAAUAAGCCCCGGCUAACUAUGUGCCAGCAGCCGCGGUAAUACAUAGGGGGCGAGCGUUAUCCGGAAUUAUUGGGCGUAAAGGGUGCGUAGGCGGUUUAAUAAGUCUCUAGUUUAAUUUCAACGCUUAACGUUGUCCUGCUAGAGAAACUGUUUGACUAGAGUGAGAUAGAGGUAAGCGGAAUUCCAUGUGUAGCGGUAAAAUGUGUAAAUAUAUGGAGGAACACCAGAGGCGUAGGCGGCUUACUGGGUCUUUACUGACGCUGAUGCACGAAAGCGUGGGGAGCAAACAGGAUUAGAUACCCUGGUAGUCCACGCCGUAAACUAUGAGUACUAAGUGUCGGGGUUAAACUCGGUACUGAAGUUAACACAUUAAGUACUCCGCCUGAGUAGUACGUACGCAAGUAUGAAACUUAAAGGAAUUGACGGGAUCCCGCACAAGCGGUGGAUCAUGUUGUUUAAUUCGAAGAUACACGAAAAACCUUACCAGGUCUUGACAUACUCUGCAAAACUAUAGAAAUAUAGUGGAGGUUAUCAGGGAUACAGGUGGUGCAUGGUUGUCGUCAGCUCGUGUCGUGAGAUGUUAGGUUAAGUUCUAAAACGAGCGCAACCCCUGUCGUUAAUUGCCAGCACGUUAUGGUGGGGACUUUAGCGAGACUGCCAAUGAAAAAUUGGAGGAAGGUGGGGAUUACGUCAAAUCAUCAUGCCCCUUAUGAUCUGGGCUACAAACGUGAUACAAUGGCUAUUACAAAGAGUAGCUUAAACGCGAGUUUUUGGCAAAUCUCAAAAAAAUAGUCUUAGUUCGGAUUGAAGUCUGCAACUCGACUUCAUGAAGUUGGAAUCGCUAGUAAUCGCGAAUCAGCAUGUCGCGGUGAAUACGUUCUCGGGGUUUGUACACACCGCCCGUCAAACCACGAAA
rnacentral:rRNA from 1 species